rnacentral:lncRNA from 1 species
AUGGAUCUAUAUUUCAGGACCAAGUCUAUUGGUUUUGGGGUACAUGAGCAGAGCAUGCAAGACAGUUGCGUAGGUACACACAUGGCAGUGUGCUUUGCUUUUCUUCUCCCCUUCACCCACAUUUGGCAUUUCUCCCCAGGCUAUCCCUCCCCACCUCCCCCUCCCACUGGCCCUCCCCUUUUCCCCCCAAUAGACCCCAGUGUUUAGUACUCCCCUUUCUGUGUCCAUGUGUUCUCAUUUUUCAUCACCCACCUAUGAGUGAGAAUAUGCGGUGUUUCAUUUUCUGUUCUUCUGUCAGUUUGCUGAGGAUGAUGUUUUCCAGAUUCAUCCAUGUCCCUACAAACGACACAAACUCGUCAUUUCUGAUUGCUGCAUAAUAUUCCAUGGUGUAUAUGUGCCACAUUUUUCCAAUCCAGUCUAUUAUCAAUGGGCAUUUGGGUUGAUUCCAGGUCUUUGCUAUUGUAAACAGUGCUGCAAUGAACAUUCGUGUACAUGUGUCCUUAUAGUAGAACGAUUUAUAGUCUUUUGGAUAUAUACCCAGUAAUGGGAUUGCUGGGUCAAAUGGAAUUUCUAUUUCUAAGGCCUUGAGGAAUCGCCACACUGUCUUCCACAAUGGUUGAACUAAUUUACACUCCCACCAACAGUGUAAAAGUGUUCCUUUUUCUCCACAUCCUCUCCAGCAUCUGUUGUCUCCAGAUUUUUUAAUGAUCGCCAUUCUAACUGGCGUGAGAUGGUAUCUCAAUGUGGUUUUGAUUUGCAUCUCUCUGAUGACCAGU